rfam:Termitomyces sp. J132 unplaced genomic scaffold scaffold92, whole genome shotgun sequence.
GGCCGCCUGGCGAAAUGGCAUCGCGUCUGACUACGAUCAUAAACGCAUUGAGACAGGUAAUCAGGAGAUUGCAGGUUCGACCCCUGCGGUGGUCA